AGAAUCAACGCUGGCGGCGUGCCUAACACAUGCAAGUCGAACGCGAAAGCCCCGCAAGGGGCAAGUAGAGUGGCAAACGGGUGAGUAACACGUGGGUGACCUGCCUUCGAGUGGGGGAUAACGUCCCGAAAGGGACGCUAAUACCGCAUGACAUCCUGCCUUUGGAAAGGUGGAGAUCAAAGCCGGGGAUCGCAAGACCUGGCGCUUGAAGAGGGGCCCGCGCCUGAUUAGCUAGUUGGUAGGGUAACGGCCUACCAAGGCGACGAUCAGUA
rnacentral:rRNA from 1 species